rnacentral:lncRNA from 1 species
CUUCACUCAGUAGUGUCUCUGCAUCCUGUCUUCCCAAGAAGGAAUGUGCUAAUAUCAUCUGAAAAUAUCUGAAGGCUGGGUUAUGUAUGACAUAAGAUAACUGCGUAGAUGGAUCCUGGCUUCCGCCACCUGAUAUAUCACUCCAAAACUUCUCCACUUCCUUACCCAGAAAAUAUCCCAGAGGUGUCUCCGGGAUAGCAUCAGGAGUGGUCUGGAAGCCCAAUAAGUCGCCGAACUCUUUCUGGCUGAAGGAGUAUUCAAC